GUAAGUUCGGCGGACUCUUCAGAAAGGAUUGGCCCAAAAAGCUGAUGAUUAUUUGGAAGGCAGGAAUCAGAGUAGAAUGGGUGUUGUUCUGUAGUUUGGACCAUUCAAAGAGUCGGGGAAGUGAGGAAGUUUCCACCAAUCUCAAACUGUACGAGGUGCCCAGCUGCUCAAGCAUGGACCGAGGAGAUGCUCCAUUGACCGGCGAUCUCGAACCCUACAACCUUCCUAGCUCCGUAAGCAUGAGCCGAGAAGAUGACCAACUGGACGCUGAUGACACAAGUCCACUAAGCAAGGACGAGGAGGAAGAGCAGCGAAGGGCCAGACGGCAGAGGGCGUGCUGGAUAAGCUGCACACUUCUCUGUUGUUGUUGCUGUGUAUUCCUUGACGCGUGUUGCAGCCCGUUGAGAUUAUGUUCGAUUGGCUGCAAAGACUGAGAUUCUGGACCGUUGGAGGUCGUUCCCUGUGCGAAUACUCGACUACCAAUACUUGAUAACUGCUGUCUGAGAGCUUCAGCCUUGCAUUACCGCAUGACCUUGCCUGCCUUCUAGUGCCACCGUCUACAAUACGAUUUCAUCCUGUAUUGAACAAUGAUAAUAAUGAUAUUAUCAUCAUUGAAAAAUACGAGGUGAACAGCAUUCCUAACAGUCAGUAGCCUCCUCUAUCGUCGUUCCUUGGAUCUCCAUGGACAUGUGUGCCAUGUCGGACAUGUUGAACUAUCUCGUGAGGUGGAAAGGCUAUUCGCUGAAUUUGUAUAUCACCCGACACUGAUGUUUGUUUUCCUAAUCAUUGUCCGCAGAUUGA